rnacentral:piRNA from 1 species
UUCCAUGCUGAGUGUUAAUUUCUGAAU